rnacentral:rRNA from 1 species
GACGAACGCUGGCGGCGUGCUUAACACAUGCAAGUCGAACGGGAAGGCCCUGCUUUUGUGCGGUGCUCGAGUGGCGAACGGGUGAGUAACACGUGGGUUACCUGCCCUUCACUUUGGGAUAACUUCAUGCAACUUGGUCUCAUACCGGAUAGGAGCUCCUGCUUCAUGGUGGGGGUUGGAAAGUUUCGGCGGUUGGGGAUGGACUCGCGGCUUAUCAGCUUGUUGGUUGGGUAGUGGCUUACCAAGCCUUUGACGGGUGGCCGGGCUGGGAGGAUGACCGGCCCAACUGGGCUUGGAAUACGGCCCGGACUCCUACGGGAGGCAGGGGUGGGGAAGAGUGUAUUAGGGGCGGAAGCCUGAUGCAGCAAAGCAGCGUGGGGGAUGAGGUGAAUGGGGUUGUAAUCCGCAUCCGCUUUUGACGAAGCGUGAGUGACAGUAAUGGGUAAAGAAGCACCGGCUAACUACGUG